rnacentral:rRNA from 1 species
UGCUCAGUGAUAUAUUUUAACAGCCGCAGUACUCUGACUGUGCUAAGGUAGCAUAAUAAAUUGGCUUUUAAUUGGAGUCUUGUAUGAAAGGAUAAACGGGGGGUAACUAUUCCAUAAUAUAAUUAAAAAAUUACUAAUGGGGUGAAAAUUCCCCAAAGGAUAAAAAAGACGAGAAGACCCCUAGAAUUUUUUAAAAAAGGGAAAUAAUCCUUUGUUUUGGCUGGGGCGGCAAAUUUUCAAAAAACAAAAUUUUUAAUAUUUCACAUGAACUUUUAGUGUUAGAUUAAAUUACCUUGGGGAUAACAGCAUAAUAUUUUAUGAUUGUGACCUCGAUGUUGGACUAGGAUAGGGCACCACUAGCCGUAGUGUCUAUAAGUUCUGUUCGAACUUUCUUUCCUACGUGAUCUGAGUUCA